rnacentral:rRNA from 1 species
GCUCAGGAUGAACGCUAGCUACAGGCUUAACACAUGCAAGUCGAGGGGCAGCAUGGUCUUAGCUUGCUAAGGCUGAUGGCGACCGGCGCACGGGUGAGUAACACGUAUCCAACCUGCCGUCUACUCUUGGCCAGCCUUCUGAAAGGAAGAUUAAUCCAGGAUGGGAUCAUGAGUUCACAUGUCCGCAUGAUUAAAGGUAUUUUCCGGUAGACGAUGGGGAUGCGUUCCAUUAGAUAGUAGGCGGGGUAACGGCCCACCUAGUCAACGAUGGAUAGGGGUUCUGAGAGGAAGGUCCCCCACAUUGGAACUGAGACACGGUCCAAACUCCUACGGGAGGCAGCAGUGAGGAAUAUUGGUCAAUGGGCGAUGGCCUGAACCAGCCAAGUAGCGU